rnacentral:lncRNA from 1 species
UUCCUCUUGGGCAGCACCAAGAAGGAGGAGGGCCUUCUAUGUGGGCGGCGAGGAGAAGGGGAGAGGAGAAGCAAGCGAUCAAAUCUGAAAAUCUUCUUUUUAUGCUAGGAUCCUCUUCUAUUUAUAGCCCACACGUCACCCUAUUUGUAGUUUGAAUCCAAUUCAAACUCCAUAGGCUAGAUAAGGAUAGAAACCAAGAGAUAAAGAAAGGAGAG